rnacentral:rRNA from 1 species
UACGUAGGGUGCAAGCGUUAAUCGGAAUUACUGGGCGUAAAGCGUGCGCAGGCGGUUUUGUAAGACCGAUGUGAAAUCCCCGGGCUUAACCUGGGAACUGCAUUCGGGACUGCAUUGCUAGAGUAUGGGAGAGGGAAGUGGAAUUUCCGGUGUAGCGGUGAAAUGCGUAGAUAUCGGAAGGAACAUCAGUGGCGAAAGCGACUUCCUGGACCAAUACUGACGCUCAUGUGCGAAAGCGUGGGGAGCAAACAGG